rnacentral:rRNA from 1 species
UCUAAUACCGGAUAUCACUCCCGCAGGCAUCUGCGGGGGUCGAAAGCUCCGGCGGUGAAGGAUGAGCCCGCGGCCUAUCAGCUUGUUGGUGAGGUAACGGCUCACCAAGGCGACGACGGGUAGCCGGCCUGAGAGGGCGACCGGCCACACUGGGACUGAGACACGGCCCAGACUCCUACGGGAGGCAGCAGUGGGGAAUAUUGCACAAUGGGCGAAAGCCUGAUGCAGCGACGCCGCGUGAGGGAUGACGGCCUUCGGGUUGUAAACCUCUUUCAGCAGGGAAGAAGCGAAAGUGACGGUACCUGCAGAAGAAGCGCCGGCUAACUACGUGCCA